UACGGAGGGUGCAAGCGUUAUCCGGAUUCACUGGGUUUAAAGGGUGCGUAGGUGGGUCUGUAAGUCCGUGGUGAAAUCUCCAAGCUUAACUUGGACACUGCCAUGGAUACUAUAGGUCUUGAAUACCGUGGAGGUGAGCGGAAUAUGUCAUGUAGCGGUGAAAUGCUUAGAUAUGACAUAGAACACCAAUUGCGAAGGCAGCUCACUACACGAAUAUUGACACUGAGGCACGAAAGCGUGGGGAUCAAACAGG
rnacentral:rRNA from 1 species